rnacentral:lncRNA from 1 species
GCCAAAUUAAAAUUUCCGCAGCUCAGUUUGCUCCUCGCUCAUCCCCUACCCUCCUCUGGGACCUUCGAGAGCUCAGGCCCUAGGUGGCUGGAUGACUAUAUAGCAACGUAAGUGCACAGCUGCUGGAUUCUGCCCGAGGAGUGGCUGCACCCCAAUGCCCCAAAUGCUGAGACAGAGACGUGUGGACUUUGACCUGACAGAUCAAAAUCAGGAUUUGGAAUGAUUACCUAAAAUAAAGGCCUAGGGUCCCGCCCCUGCAAGCUGAUGGUGGGGCUGGGGGCUAAAUGGUCAGGGUCAGGGGUCAAGUUCUUCCCUCAGAAAGACCAGCUUCUCACCCACACCCACUUCCAGAAACGGAGACUCAGGCAAAGUGCCGGCUCAAAUUGCGUUUCAUUUAUUGUUUCUAACUACGGGCCACGGACUUCAACUUGAUUAGAAAAUUGUGCUGACGCUUCCUGUGAAGUGUAUCCUGAGCCUCCUAGAGGAGCUUCAGAAGCGAACUUUCUUCAUGCAUUCGUUUCCUCCAAACGGCAUUCUCUCUGCGAGGCAGGGCUCCUGGCAACACGCUUGCCCAGAUGCCUGGGCAGGUGGAGGGGCCGCCCAGGAGAAACAAAAGCCCAGACAGGAGCCUCUGCUGAACAGCUCAGGUUUUCAGAGACCCUGGGGGGUGAGGGUGGGGGCAGGUCCCCUGCAGGGUGUGGCUGGGAGAACAGAGAACAGCUCCCCACUUGUCUCCCUGACCAUCCACCCAGCUCGUCACAGGGUCUCUGCGGUGGCGGGGGAGGGCCAAAAGCCAUCUCUGACCUCACCUGCGUGCAGACUUCAGCAGCCACUGUCCUCCCCCUUCCCCCUGGCCCAUCUUUUAUGCUUGUUCUCCCUUCCCCUCAUCUGAAUUCAGGGCAAGAGACUGCCAGUUGACUUGGGAGGUUACCAAGUAAUAAUAAUACCAAUAAUAAAAACUAUUGACAGUUUUUAAAAGUUUAUUCCGCACUAAGCAUCUUAAACUCAUUGUUCAUCUCACUGAGUCAUCACAACCCUUUAUAGUAGGUAUUAUUAUCUUCCUCAUUUCCCAGAUGAUAAAACUGAGGCUCAGUAAGGGUGAUUUGCCCCAGAUCACACAGCAAUUUUAUGAAAUUUGUUUAUUUAACAAACACACAGCUCUAAUUUUGUACCAGGCAGUGUUCUAAAUGCUUUAUAAAUAUUACCUUAUUAAAUCCUCAAUGCAACCUUGAGUAAUUAUUGUUAUCCCCAUUUUAAAAUGAAC